ensembl:lncRNA
AAACAUUCAUCACUUCUGCUGGAGCAUAGCUCAUGGUACACAUUAGGAAAUUUCCAGUAGCUGCAAGAACAAUACAAACAGAAAUCAGUAAAGGUCUCUGUGUUACAAGUGCAUCUGAAGGACGCUCUGUGAGGCAACCCCCCAGGAGCUGCCAAAGCAGGUUUCUGUCAGAAGAUGAAAGUAAGCUUCUUCUCUGAAAAUGAACUGCUUUGUAGGAAAAAGGAAGCAAAAACAUUUUUCUUCCCAUCAGCUCAUUUCCUUCCUAAACUAACUCCAUCAUUUCCUAAGCCUACCUAGCACCUUUCUAUUUAAUAAGUUUAUCUGCAAAGUGCUUAAUUCUGCUGCUUCUCCAAUUCUCGGAGGUAGGCAAUCUAAGACUAUUUGCAAAUACCCUUUGAACUGAAGUGAUGAGAGACUGCAAUUAAUCAAAAGGUUGAAUCUAUAGAAAAGCCCUAUUAAAAUCUUGGGAACUGCUGAGGAGGUAAUGGCUAACUGUUCCCAAGGGGAUGAAAAAUAAUAAAGAAACAAAAACUAUUUAGGAAUCCUAUUAACAAAAUGUAUCAGACUGUAUAUGAAACUGUAUAAAAAGAUUUCAAAGCCAAAUGAGGCUUUGAGGAAAAAAAAAAACUUGGUAUUGUUUUGGUUUCUUUGUAUAAAUGCAUAGUCAGGCAUUCAUACUUCAACUGAAUGUGUGUCUUAUUUUCUGCCUGACCUCCAUCUCAUUCAGAAAGAUUGUCCCCAUAAAGUCAUUCUCCUGCCUUUCAGCAGGAUAGUUUUUAUCCUACUCUGUCAGUACCUUGAGAAAAGUACCCCUAAGGAAAUCAAUGAAAGAAAGGGCAACUGCUUGUAUUUUGGAGCACAGGGCUUAAAAUAUCUCCUCCGCCACUGUUUGCCAAUGCCACCAGCGAAGCAAGGAUAACAGCAGCUUCUUCCUGCCUUGUUCAGUGUGCAGGAUUGUUAUUUAGAAUUCAGUAUCUGCAGCAGCAGGGUGCUGACAUCCUCUGUCAUUUUCAGAUGUUGCAUGGAACAUAAGGAGCAGCCAGUGUGUUGGGGGAGGGCUAGGAGGGGGUGUGGUGUCAUGAGCCAUUGGGUUGGAGGGAGUCAUGAAGAAACCUGUCCCAAGAAUGAGGAGCAACAAAGAGCUGGACAGAGGUACUAUUUCAACUCCUGCCUCCCACUUUUGAAAAGAGAGAAAGCUGUAACUGAAGUCUGAAAGCACUCAGCUGUUAUGGUGGGAUCUGUGUUAAACACACAAAAAAGAAAUCACUGCGAUCUCUCAAGACAGACUGAUUGAUAUCUUAGACUACCUGACAAAUAACACGUUGUCUCAAAGCAAGGCCUUUAAGAUCUUCUACUGAUAAUACUCAUGAUAAUUAAAGGCCAUGGCCACUGUGAUUAGCCUAGAUUCUUUCACACACAAAAAAAUAAAGCCAACUUCUGGCUUUUGGUCAGUUAGUACCUCAGUAAGCCAUAGUUCCAAAAGCCUUGUGUCAUGGUGGAAGCUGUCACCUCCCUCUAGGUGACAAUGAAGCACAGGCACAGUUCUACAUGACCUGAUUUGAUAUUACCAGGUGGUAACACACUAACAAAAUCCACAGGACAACUUGAUCUCACAGAUGCAUCUCUGCCUUGAUGGUAUAUAAAUUUAAAGUGAAGGGCAGCACUUCUUAAUUACUUACAUUGUUUAUUUUAAUGUAGCUUACAGCUUUCAUUUUUAAACCAGAAAUGGAAGGACAUAGUUUCUCUCAAGACAGCAGGUUUGUGUUUUUAAAAGAUUUUAAAUUAAUACAUGUAUUUACUCACUGUAGCAGAAAUGCUAAGUAAGUCACAGUCUGAACCAGUGACUGAGCACCCAGUGGGAAGGCAGGGCCAACACAGGGGAGCUCAGGUGCAUGCAAUGUACCUGAGUGAGCAGAAGGGGUGGAGCCAGGAUCCACCCCUUCCCAAACCUCAUUUAAGGGUUGGCAGUGGAGGUAGGGAUUUUUUGCUGGAGAUCCCUGCCUCCCAGAGGUCUUCUGAAGGUCUUCCUGAGAGAGUGGGCUCCAUUAUGUUCAGGAACAGAAUGAAAAUGAAACUCAUCAUUAGUCGGGUUGACUCAGUGUCUGAAUACACAUUGUACCAUGAGGAUCCUCUUACCCUGAGCCAAAGACUGUCAAAGUCAAUUCCAACAGCUGAUGAGGCCCUUCAGGAUAGGUCAGUUUUUUCCUUGAAAUCCCAUCAUGGCAACUUCUGCAUUUGAUGAGUAUUACCAGCACAGAUAGACGCACCAUGGAGGGAAUCCCAGCCACACAGAAAAAAUAAAUAACCAACUAAGACUAUUAUUGACCUGAAAACUGCCUGUCAUUCUGCUACUACAUAAUAGUCACAGAAUACACAUUUCAAAGCCACGGUUUAACAGAAAUACUUAAAACCUGACAACUUAUGAUGAUUCAACAAGAUGAGAAAAAGACAAGGGCUCAAUCUCCAAACCCUGAUCAGUGGGUGAGCAUUUCAUAAGCCUGAGCAAACAGGAGAGAUCAUUGCGAAGAAGUGCUUGAGUUGAUUUGCAUUGCUCUCAAUUAGGGAAGGUAGUCCAGCCAACCACUACUCCAGCAUUACUGACAAGGACAACAAUUUGAUUUCUAGAAGCACUACCUGACUGAAAGAUUCUGUGAUUAGGAACUGCCACUCCUUUUGGACACAAAAGGGGAAUCUUCACCUUGAAGUUCUGGGAUGCAGGUGGACUUGCUAGAUUCUUUCAGGGUCCAGUUCACUACAGUGUCAUCACUGACUUGCUGAGCAUCACCCAGGUCCUUGAAGACAUUCAGCAUGUACCUGAACAGUGGCAGAGAAAACAAGAUUUGGCUCAGAUCCUGGGCUAAGACCCAGCAAGCACACAGCCUGGAGGGAACAUGAACUCAUAGCAACACGCAAAGUCUUCAUGUAGUCUCAGCUCUGCUUUUUUUUUUUUUUUUUUUUUUUAAUUAUUUUAUUUUUCACCCCUUCAGCAAAAAGGAAGAGCCAUCUAUUGUAUCUGUAGUGCAAUUUCUGUUAAAUCAUUUAACCUCUAAUUCCUCUCACUUCGUUUCAUAUUCAGACAUUACUAGUGGACUGGAAAUUAUUCAGCCUGUAAAUACCAAGUUAAAAUAGAAAGAAUAACACUGCUUCUCCCUUGUUUGAGGGGAUUGCACUGGUUGUGCAAAUGCAGGGUGUGGAAAACACUGCCUAGUGGAUGAACUAGGGAGUAUUCUAGGUUACAUGACACUUAUUACUUUGCACAAGAAACUGGUAUUAGGCAGAGAGAAUGGCGUUGAAUCCUCUUGUUGAAGGAAAUAUUGGAUGACUUUAGCUUUGAAGAGCUUUCUUCCCUUGGCUGUAAGUGAGCGAACUAGAAAAAGCCACAGUAAAUCUUUCUAUUGCUGGGGAACAAAUGAGAAACUGUACUACAGAGAGUAUGGAAAAAGAAAAGCAAGCCCUUAUGACCUUAAGAACAUAAUAAAGAUGGUCAGGCCAGAGGAAGUCUGGGCAAAAACAAGGGACUGUGGAAGUUGCCUGUCAUGAUGACUAGUGGGAAGUAGAACAUGCACGAAGAAAAUGAGACAAUAGCUGGAAAUAUGUAGACACUGCUAAGACUAACCUUGAGCCACAUCCUUAUUUAGGGACUAACAACAAUUGAUGUUUAAUAUUCUAGUCCAAUGGCAAUGUUUUCCCUUAUCUUAGAGAAUCUGUUAUUCAUUUGUUUGAAUGCAUGUAAGCAUACAAACCUAAAGAUAGGAUUGGGUUUAGCCUCGAGGCUUCUUCACAAGUAUAUGUUCUCAACAGACAGCAAAUGCUAAAGCUAGAAUUGUUUCAGAGUCUGCUUUGACACUUUCCACAUGACUCUUCUAGCAUGUUCCAGUCAUCAAACAACAUAUACAACCUUCAGUCAUCUUCUAAGUGACCUAUUUAGGAGCAAUUUCAGCAUGAAUAUAAAUUCAGUGAAAAUGUAAAUAUGCAUUCAACAGUUGCUGGAUGAAAUGGUGGGUGGUGAGAAGAAAGGGAGUUUCCAUCUGUCUAGCCUUACAGGGUGAGUGUAUUUUCACUUUGCAAGUGCUUUCUACUCAACAUAUAUGUGAUAUAUGAGAAGACCAAGAUGUGCUGUACUUGGGUAUAUGGAGAUAAAAAGAAACAUCCCUCAGUUGUGAGAUGUAUGUAGCUAUGAACUAAUACCUCUUUUUCUUUUGCUGUUUAAUGCGCUGUUAAAAACAACACUAGCUGCCUCCCUUACAUUCAGCCAAGAUCCUGUUGUGCUCAGAGCUCUCUGCUGACUUAAAUUUUGAGUUGCUCUGACUUAAUCUGAAUUUCACUAGAAGUAUAUUAGAAAAAGUGUUUUUGUCGUCUUUGAGUAUCUGGAGAAAUAUAACCCUAGCAAGAGUCGUCCUGGUGUCCAGAACAGUGUAACAGGAUGUGGUGUCUAACACGCAGGGCUGUACAUGAGCAUCAGCGCUCAAAAUCUUGCCAAGAAUUUAGUUUUCUAGAUUCCAGUGCAAUAUUAGCCAACACAAAACUUGACAGUGGAAAAGAGUCAAGCAAAGCUGUUCAUUCAUUACAGAAUAGCUUAGGUCAGGUAAAGCUGGGAAAAAUAUAAAAUGUAAAAUAAUAAAAAAUUGCAGUGGCAGGUGUGUUAAUUAGGAGCUAAUUACCUUCUGUUAGUAAGUGAUACACAGAUGUUCUGAGCCUUACAAAAAGAAACAGAAAUUCCAGAGGUAAUGAUGACAGCAUUUUGACUUUGUUGAAGAAUCUCUGUGUUGAAAAAUCUACUGUCUGUUGUAGUUAAGUCUAUUAGUUUCAUUUGUGGGCUUUUUUUUUCUUUUUUUUUUUUUUUUUCCUUUUAUUCUUUUUUUUUUUCCUUUUUGGAGAGGAGGGCUAGGGAAGACAAUGAGAUAGUACUGUGUCAUCAUAGGAAAACAUAUGAGGUUGAACUCAUUUUGUGAACUACCUUCUAUUAUCCAGUUUUAAAUAACCCACUUUAUCCUUUGGGGUGGUGAAUAUCAUUUCCCAGAAAACAAAACAAGCUCACUAGUGGAUGUGGUCUGUCUAAAACUAAUCUUACUGAAGAAGAAAAAUGUAAGAAAUAAUACCCGUCAUCACCAGCAUCUAAGAUCACAUCAAGAAAUGCAAUUUUGGAGGCUCUUUUUGAUUGGAUGCUUUUGUUUUCCCUUUUUGAAUGCAUGUAUUUUCAUGCAGAGUCAGCAAAAGCACCAGUACAGACUGAGGAACCAGGCAACUGGGAAUGAGCACUGUGGAUUUGGAGAGGACCUCCAGCCCUUUGAUGUUACAAAUGUCCAUGCCAAAACAAUUUUUGUAGUGAUAUUAAGCCCCUUGUGAACGCAGCUGUGUGGGGUUAUCUUCAUGGCUCUCCUGGAAAGCUAUUCUGGAACCUCAGUCCCAGAACUUAGACUUUGGAAUAUCCAAGUGGAACUCAUUUCUGAGUGGUUAGUGCCCAUUGUUUUGUUAUCUGUACAGACUAGUAGCUUUAACAGUGUUCUUCAUUUGCUGUAGUUACUAUUCAUCAAUGUUCACAAAGUAAAAUCCAAUCCCUCUCUCGCCUUCUUUUUGUUCAGCAAAUAAGUUAUGUUCUUUUUUUUCUCUUCGAUAGCCUGCAGGCAUGUUAAACAUUAGGCAAAAAUAUAGAAAAACUACUGAGAAAGAAUAUCAACAACAGGUGUGUAAAAGUAGAGGUUUGGAAGCACUUACUGCAAAGGAAAUGAGAGGGGAAAAGAGGAAAGGAAAGGAAACAAAAAUACCUGUAACUUUGGACAGAGAAGUAUUAAGCAGUAUUGUACAGCUGACAAACUCAAGCAAAUCUACUGCGUAAGUCUGCUCACCUUGAUUUCUUUGAUAACUAUACUGAAAAAUGAAGGCAUUAACUGAUGUAUAAAUCAUUCUUCUUACCAUUGUUAGACAAAGGGUUGUAAAUAAAUGUUUCUUUUCAUAUUUUCA